rnacentral:rRNA from 1 species
CUCAAAGAUUAAGCCGCAAGUGGUUAUAUUAACCCGACAGUUUAAAUAAGUGUUAAAUGCUACCAUUAAACUUAUCGAUAUAUCACGAUAGACCGAUUUUGUUUACGACGGCAGUAACAAUUUCAGCGUGUUAUCACCCAUCACAGUGAAUCACUGAAAUUUACCCUACAUUCAGUAUCACUUACGCAACUGCAGACAGCUGCUUAAUACAGUCACACUUGUCUUGACUUGGCGCAAUAAAAAUUUUCAUUGAAACACCCUCUCUUCAUUGCGGGGGCAGAUCGGUGAUCAUUUUUGUUUUGUUGCAUUCACGCAUACAAAAUUUUUUUGAUUUCUCUGUAUCGCUUAUUCUUUAAGGACAUUGCGUUACACCGUGACAAUUUUUUCUUUAUGGAUAACUCAGGGAAAGUUUGGCUAAUACGUACGAGUAUAUUUUAUUUUUACUACACAUACGCACAUACAUUCAGAUUAAUUUUUGUAUCGCUGUGUAUCAACUACUACUCAGCACUCAAUGGUAAACUUUGGCUGCGCUUGCGCGGUCAGUUUAAAGUUUAACUGCAACAUGAGAGACAUUGAGCACGCACGUGUUGCGUCUUCGGACGCUUCACGUCACGCUGAGCAGACUUUGCGAAGUUUACUUUGCGAAGCAUGUCAUACAAGCAUCUACAGCAUCAAGUCACAGGGUUGGCAAGUGUAUUUUUGAACCUUCAAAGCAGUCACGCAUACGGAAGAGUAGUUUCUGAUCCCAUAGAAGGAGCACCGUACAAUGAGAGACCGCUCUUAGUUCUAAGGAACGCAGCAGGCGCGUAAAUUGCCCAAUGCUAGUACCCUACAAUUCAAAUUGUAUUUACAUGCGUUACACAAUUUACAACAUUAUUACAAGUUUUUAAUGACAGUACAUUAUAACACUUUCAUUUUUUCUGUUAUCAUUACACAUAUAUCCUUGUUCGUUGUACUUUCAGCAUAUAUAGUAUUAAUUUAUUAUUUUACUGAGGCAGUGACAAGCUGUAACGGUUGAGUAUAAAAAUGACGAGUGUCUGGCAUUGCCGCUCUUUCGGGAGCUUGGCAAGUUGCCGACGCUUUGUGUGCUCAAUUGGAAUGCGGUGAGUUUAAGCAACUCAGAACCUUUGGACGGUGUUAGUAAAAUUUCACUGUUUAUGUAUCUGAAUUUCAAGUGGAGGGCAAGUCUGGUGCNNNNNNCCGCGGUAAUACCAGCUCCACUGGCCUAUACAAUCAUUGUUGCGGUUAAGAGGCUCGUAGUUGGAUUGAACUGCAAAUACGAAUGAACUUCUCAUUCUGUUUGAAGUUUUACGCAUUAAUAUAUAUUUCUAUCUCGCAUAGAUUUAUUUUUUUUUUGCGUUCGACGCUGUUAAAAUUUAUACAAUUUCACCGUUGUAUUAAAUUUUAGUUUUUACACGGCACAAAUUUUUACUGUCGCACACGCAUUAUAUAUAUACAUCAUUUCUACGCACACACACACACACGAUUUAUAUAUUUUGCAAACGCGCGGGAAAUCUUUGUAUUUUUUCGAACACUCGCUUAGUUAUUUAUUCGCCUUUUCAACACUGUGAACAAAUCARAGUGUAUUAAACAUGUCGUUUUUGAAUGUGCAUUGAAUGUCUUAUCAUGGGAUGUUGCACUUUCUGACGUUAAAGAUUUUUACUGCACUUUUUACAAGCGCUGUACUUGAUUUUUUCCACACACGUUUAUCUGUCAUGCUGCGGCCCGUUUAGGGAAGUAUACUAGCAUGCAGGGAGAGACGCACAUGUUACAUGCCACGUAAAUAUUAUUAUCUCAUACUACCCACACACGGUAAAUUAUUUUUAACGGUUAAAAAAUGUCGAUGGGGAUAGUUGGAGUCAACAGUAUUGCUGGGCGAGCGGUGAAAUGCAUUGACCCUAGCAAGACUACCAAAAGCGAAAGCAGUUGGCUAGGCUAUACUCUUUGUGAUUAUAUAUCUUACGGGACGCUGCUGUGCUGCCUGCGUGACACAUUUUUUUUUUCUCAGCAUUGCUUUAUACGGCAUUACACACUGUACACUGCGUAUACUGCCAUCUUUGCGAAUUUUUUUGUCUCACACACAGACACACACACACACAGCGCUGCGUUAUGCAUAUAUAUAUACACUUUACAAUGAAGAACGAAGGUUGGGGGAUCAAAGAGGAUCAGAUACCCUCGUCGUCCCAUUAAUUACAUCAAACGAUGGACUCUCAAUUGCAUUUUUUAUUAAAUUGCAAAUUUCCUCAGCCUACAAAAUGACUUGGCUUGAGCUCGUAUUUUUUAUACGCUCGCCUAACUUUUUUCGUACGGUCUCGAUGGACGUUUCAUUUAUAUUUUUUUGCGUGUAAGCAUUUGUUAUUCUUUGAAACAUAAGAAUGCAUUGCGUGCACUUGAUUUUCGGAGCUUUGCGCUCAAUUCUGGUGAGAUGUAAGCACUGUGUCAUACUACCCGCAGCAUAUACCUUCGGGUAUUUUGUCUGUCGUGUGUAGUUGACAAUCUUGGUGUGAAGCACGCUUUAGGCACGCGCUUACUGCAGAAAUGUCUGAGACACUCUCCUCUGGGGGAAGUAUGCACGCAAGUGUGAAACUUGAAGGAAUUGACGGAAGGGCACCACAAGAACGCGUGGAGCAUGUGGCUUAAUUUGACUCAACGCGGGAAAUCUUACCGGGUCCGGACACACUGAGGAUUGACAGGCAAUAUUAAUACGUUUUGCUUCGGUAAACGCGUAUUAUGUUAAAUAUGCUAGUCCUUUCAUGAUUAUGUGAUAGGUGGUGCAUGGCCGUUCUUAGUUCGUGGAGUGAUCUGUCUGCUUAAUUGCGUUUCACUAAGGGCCUAUAAAUUUACGUGUGUUGCAUCGCACUUUGACCCCUUUCUUUAAUUAGAGAGCGCGUGCCUUAGUUUUCGCUUUGCUCAUACAAUUAGGUCCUGAAAGCAACGAACGUGACCGCAACCUCUUGUUGCCUUUAUACCAAACAUGUUUUGCGUCAAUUUUUACGAAUUGCGCGCAUUUCAUGAAAAAAGGCUUUUUAAACUAGAGGGACCGCUGUUACUUUCUUAAACCAGAGGAAGGUUGCGGUAAUAACAGGUCUGUGAUGCCCUUAGAUGUUCCGGGCUGCACACGUGCUACAAUGAUUAUUGCAGUGAGCAUCUCAUUUUUACACACCGCAUGCGCGAGUCCAUUUAUUCACCUUCGGGUGUUUUAAAUGUGUAUCUCUGCGCGCGGUAAAGCCUGCUUCGACAGUAAGUGGGUAAUCAAUUAGAAGUAAUGAUUUCCUUUUUUUUAGCACACAUAUAUACGGCGUCUAUGCCCGGGUUACCUUGUUGUAGCUUUUGUGCGUAUAGAUGUUUUUUCCGUAUGUGCGAUUGUCAAUUCAUGGUGGGGACAGACCAUUGUUAAUUGUUGGUCUCGGUCUUAACUAGGAAUGCCUUGUACGGGUCUUUGGUUCAACAAACCACCCGGAAUACGUCCCUGCCCUUUGUACACACCGCCCGUCGCUCUUACCGAUGGACUUCUCUGUGAGUUUGAGGGACUGGGAACGCAGGAAUUUAUUUCUGCACACCUAUGGAAACUUAAACGAACAGUGUGGUCUAAAGGAAAGAGAAGUCGUAACAAGGCAUCGGUAGGUGAACCU